UCAUCCAUUUGUGAGCAGCCCACAUCUGAUCUACGGUUGCUAAAGUAAACCCAAUCCUCACCCUCACCAUUGACCCUUGUACUAGAAUGAAAAGAAACUCCUGCACAAUUCGCAUAAGCCAGUGGACCAUAACUAAACGACUUCCUAACAGUAGGAUCCUCCUUUGCCUCAUCUGACUCUCCUUCUUCAUACUCAUCAUUGGACUCAGAAUCAAAAGGAUAUGCAUAUUCCCCCUCUUCGCUCCUCGCUGAGCUUCUUUCUUCACUACCCUCUUCUUCUCGACAAGCUUUCUUUGCUCUCCUAGUUGAUACAUACUCCGUAAAUAUUUUAACCUUUCUGAGGCCAGCUUUGAGGGCAGAAAGCUCAUCCUUUUCAACUGGUGGAGUUUCUACAGACCGUGCUGGAGACUGAACAGAAGCUAGUGGCCUUUGAACCAACUCUGUCGACUCUUGG
rnacentral:misc_RNA from 1 species